CGGGUGAGUAAUACAUCGGAACGUGCCCAUUAGUGGGGAUAACCCGGCGAAAGCCGGACUAAUACCGCAUACGACCUACGGGUGAAAGCAGGGGAUCGCAAGACCUUGCGCUAUUGGAGCGGCCGAUGGCAGAUUAGCUAGUUGGUGGGGUAAAAGCCUACCAAGGCUACGAUCUGUAGCUGGUCUGAGAGGACGACCAGCCACACUGGGACUGAGACACGGCCCAG
rnacentral:rRNA from 1 species